rnacentral:lncRNA from 1 species
GCCUUUUCUAGGGCCGCUCCCGCGGCAUAUGGAGAUUCCUAGGCUGCUUGGGGUCUCAUCAGAGCCGUAGCCACUGGCCUACGCCAGAGCCACAGCCACGCGGGAUCCAAGCUGUGUCUGCAACCUACACCACAGUUCACGGCAACGCUGGAUCCUCAACCCACUGAACAAGGCCAGGGAUUGAACCCGCAACCUCAUGGUUCCUAGUCAGAUUCGUUAACCACUGUGCCACGAUGGGACCUCCCAAAAUGGGUUUCGAUGUCCUUUCCUUGUGCCAGUUAAUGUAAAUGCAUGUACGGAAAAUUGUAUCAUGUGUAUGCAUCACUUCUAGUAAGAAUAUUGGGGCAAAAGUAAUUGAAUCUCAUAUCUGUCACAUAUCAAAACCUACCAGGUGUCCGUAGGCUUCACCAGCCACAGUCUGUCUAUUCUAAUGAGGUUUCUUCUGAAACUGGUUCCCUGAGGAGAGAAGGGCUGCUCUCGGCUGAGCCAGAGCUCCCAGAGGGAACACUCAAAAUGGAAAACCUCACAUCAGCGGUCCAAAUACCAACCCAGUCUCCCGCGAAGAAUAAUAUUUUGGCUUAACAGGUUCAACCCCAGAAGUAAUCUCAAGACGCUGCAUGUGUUUCUUGGGUUUUACAAUGAAACGAAGGCCACGGUUAGAACGUGGGUUUGAAUGUGGAGGAGGAGAAACUACCAUUAAUUUUGCCUGCCAAAAAAUCAAUAACGAAUGUUUUAACCUUUCUCUCUCUUUCUUUCUCACUCACUCUUUGGCUUAAGAAAUAAACUCUGUGUAUAUUCUUUCCUAUGAUUUAUGGGCUGGUUGGAAAACUUAGAAAAGUAAGUCAAUAACCCCUUUAGACAACUAUCUGAUCCAGGAGGCAAUCAGAACUCAGGCUUCCAUCAAGGACUUCCCUUUGUCAUUUUCAAAUCCUAUUGUCUUAUAUUACCUAUAACUGUAAGGAAACUGGUCAGUAUUGGAAUGUCACUUCUCAGAAUUCAAGGUACUUACAGUAUUCUGAGGUGAUAUCAGUUUCUCCAACAGAAUAUAUUUGAUGAUGUGUAUAAAUAAGAGCUCACCGCACCUCAGGCUGUUAUUUCCCAUAGAAAUGAACAAUGACCUGAGUACAGGGAAGUAAAGAACGGACUCAGAGUGUAUGUCCCAUUCACAGAAUCAGGUCAGUCAUACAGAUUCUGACCUGUAAUCUCAGAAUGUGGGUCAAAGAACAGCAGUAUCAUACGCCUCUUAUUUUCACUUUGGCCCUCUAAGUUUUUUGAGGCUGUUUCUUAAAGUACUAUCCUCAUUAAGACAUUGAUUUCCUCCCACUAAGAUGCUUACAAGUGGUAAUAAAAUUCUUUCCAUCCCACCUAAAAAGAUCAACCAAGUUUUUAUAGCAUCAGGAAGGCUGCUGUCCAGGUAACUGUUUGGACACCAACAGCCUAUCAAUGGUAAUGACAAGCAAAGUCAAAUGGAGCUGGCUGAGGAGAUCAGAACUUCUCUCUGAUUGAGGAUGCCAGCAUAUUUUUGCUCUAGAAUCUCAAUUAGACAAAAUGAUUUCUUGCAUCUUAAUCAAUUUCUGAUCCAGGAUAAGGCCAUAGAGAUGUCCCCUCACCUCUACUUCAGACCAAGUUUUUGUUAAACUAAAAACCUCCCCCAACUCCUUACACAUGUCCAGGGAGCUCAUAAGCUUGGAUUCUUGUUUGAGCUUCAGUUCUCCUAAACUCUGGGUCAUUUUUUCUCUUCUGGGAAAGGAGAGAGGUGCCUCACCUUUACUUCUGACCUAGUUGCACAGAGGUGUCAAGAAAUUUUAGAAUAUAGCACAUAAGAGUUCCCAUCUUGGCUCGGUGGUAAUGAACCUGACUUGUAUCUAUGAGCGCUUGGGUUUGAUCCCUGGCCUCACUCAGUGGGUUAAGGACCUGGUGUUGCUAUGAGCUGCAGUGUAGGUCCCAGACAUGGAUCAGAUCUGGCAUUGCUGUGGCUGUGGCAGAGGCUGGCAGCUGUAGCUCUGAUUUGACCUGUAGCCUGGGAACUUUCAUACACUGUGGGUGCAGCCCUAAAAAGACAAAAAAUAUCUCUAGAAGGGUACACAUGAACUGGAUAACAAGUGGCUUCUUCUGGAAAGAACUUGGUCCUUCAGGAUAACUGGGUGGGAAGAAGACUUUACACUCUUUCCCCUUUUGUGAUAUUCAAGUCGUUUUACAAUGUGUUUUCUUAUUCAAAGAUACAUGUGUUCAACUCUUCAGAGGGAAAAAUAAUAGAGAAAAAAUGCACAGUAUAAAACAGUGCAUAUGUUAUGCUUCCAUUUGGAUAAACAACAACAAAAAAAAGGUGUAUACAUUAGGACGAUUUCUAGAAGGAUACACAAAAAUUUGCUAUUAGUUAACUUUAAGGAGUAGGACUGCUGUUCUGGAGUGGGUGGAAAAUACUUCUUAUCCUUUAAAGCGUUAAUCAAAAAAAUUUCAAUACAACAUAAAACGGGGGUAGAUGAGGAAACAGGGAAAGAUAUGAAAUCUAAUCUAGUCAUUUCUAAAGGAUCAUGUGCCCAUGAAUUGAGGUGUUGUUAUUUAAAUAACAAAAGUUUCCCUCCCAAACACACAUACACUGGAAAAGCCAGACACAAACAUCCCUGGCUUGACUGAGGAUGACUUUAUAUCUUAUCAGUAAGAUGCGCCAUCCAAGCAGCAGGUCUAGUUUAUCACAUGUUUAAGCCGUAUCUCAUACUCGUGUUAUUAACAACAUGUCAAAUACAAUCUGCUGUAUUGUCAAGACUACGUCAAAGAAACAUAAUUCUGGUUUCCAAUACUUAUACUUGCAAUUUAUGCAACAUCUUUCCUCUUAAGACAUCUCUGAAGUUUGAUUAAAACAGAAGCAUAUUUACACGUCUGAAUUCAGAGAGUUACUGGGAGAAAUAAGCCCAUCCCCACCCCUCUGCUCUCUUCAUGGGAAGUGGGGAGUGACAGUGGGGCGGGGGUUACUCUGCUCUGCUAUCCUGUCCCUGUUUUCUUCACAACAGAACCACCUAGGUCUCCAUGGGCGUGUCACACAUGACAGGAGAAUGAAUGAGGAAAUUCCAAUCUGUGUGUGAGUGUGAGUGUGUGUCAGGGGCUAUUCUUGUCCUGAUUACUUCGUGUCUGUGAAAAAUAACAAUAACGAAGGGAUCUAGGUAGGUAGGAACAACCGGCAAUAGGUAAUCAGUUCAGGGUUUGCCAUGCAGAUGUACAUUCUACCCAAUACACUCAAAGCAUAUUAAAUCACUCUCCUGGGGGUAGAGCCUCGUUCUAUGUUUAGAACAAGCUCCCCAGGCAACCCUUAGGUAUACAGCUGAGGAUCAGGGAUCUAGGAAACACAGGCAAUAAUAACAUGACUGCUGACAUUGAUGGAAUGCUUUCUCUUCUCCAGUUUCGGUCGCCACCCUCCUUCCUACAAAACACCUUCAUCUCUCACGUUGCCCGAGCGUCUCGUCUGGUGUCCCUAAAUCUGCCCUUAUUCCCCACCCCCCAACCCCAGAGCAGCAUAGUCUUUGAAAGGUAAAUCCUUCCAUGAGAUCCCACUCCCCCACGUCUAAUGGCUUCUCAUCCUGUUCAGAAUUAAAUCCAAAGAUUUUCCCAUGACUUACAAGAUCCUGUGUGAAAUGGCCUGAUUUCCUGUUUCUUUUUUUUUUUAAUUGAAGUAUAGCUGAUAUACAGUAUAUAAGUUUCAUGUGUACAAUACAGUGAUUUAUGAUUUUGAAAGAUUAUACUCCCUUACUGUUACUAUCAAAUACUGGCUAUACUUCCUGUAGUGCACAUCUUUUUUGCUUAUUUUAUACCUAAUUGAUUGUACUUCUUAAUUUCCUGCCCCUAUAUCUCCCCUUCCCCCUUCCAUCUCACCACUUGUAACAAUUAAUUUAUUCUCUAUAUCUGGGAGUCUGCUUCUGUUUUGCUGUAAUCACUAGUUUGCACUAUCUUUUAGAGUCCUCGUAUAAGUGAUAUCAUACAGUAUUUGUCUUUCUCUACCUCUCUAACUUUCUUAACCAUCACCCUCUGCCUUCUUCACUCUACCCCAGCGACUCUGGUUUUGUUUCUGUCCCUUCAUGUGUUAAGGACACUUUUAGCUCAAAUUUUUUGCACUUACUCUUCCCUCAGCUUGAAGAGUUUUCCCUGAGUUAAACACAAGGUUCAUUCUUUGACUUAACUGAGCACUCACUCAAAUAUUCAGUCUUCAGAGAGGCUGUCUGCGGCAAGCAGCCUCUAAGGUAAUGUCCAAAGACUUCUACCCCCUGAUAUUCCUUAACCUUGUAUAAUCCCCACCCCCCCAGAUAAUUUGCUUGUAAUCAAUAGAAUAUGGUAAUGUUCAGGGACUAUCAUCUCCAUGAUUAGGUUAAAAACGCUGUUCCUUCCAUCUUGCUAGCAGACUCUCUCUUUGGCUGGCUUUGAUGAAACAAGCUGGCAUUUUGGAGAGGCCCAAGUAGCAAGGAACUGAGGGCAGCCUCCAGUCAACAGUCAGCAAAAACCUGAGGCUCUCAGUCCAAGAGCUGAUGAGCAACUAAAUCCUGUCAACAACUACAUAACUGAGCCUGGAAGUGGAUCUUUCCACUGGUGGAGACUUCAGAUGAAACCCUAGCCCCUGCAGAAAACUUGUUUGCAAACGUGUGAGAUCCUGAAGCUAAAUCAUGCUGAUUCUUGAGAUACAGAAACUUUGAAAUAACUAAUCUUCCUGCUGUGGCACAUUGGGUUAAGGAUCUGGAAUUGUCUCUGCAGUGGUUCAGGUGGCUGCUGAGGUUCAGGUUUGAUCCCUAGCCUGGGAGCUUCCAUAUGCCAUGGAUGCAGCCAAAAUAAAAAUAAAUAAAUUUAAAAAAAUUUUAAAGUUAAAUAAAAUAGAAACUCCAAAACUCCC